GAACGGUUACACGAGGGUUUUACUGUCUCCUAAGGCUAAUCAAUGAACUUGAUGAUUCAGUACAAACGCUGAAAUAAAGCCACAAGACGAGAAGACCCUGUGGAACUUUAAGUUUCUGCCAGCGGACCAAAGAGCCUUUCCUCCCCCCCCCCCC
rnacentral:rRNA from 1 species